rnacentral:rRNA from 1 species
CCUACGGGUGGCAGCAGUCGAGAAUAAUUCACAAUGGACGAAAGUCUGAUGGUGCAACGCCGCGUGGAGGAUGAAGGUCUUCGGAUUGUAAACUCCUGUCAUUGGGGAGUAAGACCUGGCGGUCAAUAGCCGACAGGGUUGAUAGUACCCAAAGAGGAAGGGACGGCUAACUUCGUGCCAGCAGCCGCGGUAAUACGAAGGUCCCGAGCGUUGUUCGGAAUCACUGGGCGUAAAGGGAGCGUAGGCGGCGUGGUAAGUCAGGUGUGAAAUCCCGGGGCUCAACCCCGGAACUGCACCCGAUACUGCCGUGCUCGAGGGUUGGAGAGGUAGCUGGAAUUCUCGGUGUAGCAGUGAAAUGCGUGGAUAUCGAGAGGAACACUCGUGGCGAAGGCGAGCUACUGGACAACAUCUGACGCUGAGGCUCGAAGGCCAGGGGAGCA